rnacentral:rRNA from 1 species
UACGUAGGGUGCAAGCGCUGUCCGGAAUUAUUGGGCGUAAAGAGCUCGUAGGCGGUCUGUUGCGUCGGCUGUGAAAACCCGGGGCUCAACUCCGGGCCUGCAGCCGAUACGGGCAGACUAGAGUUCGGCAGGGGAGACUGGAAUUCCUGGUGUAGCGGUGAAAUGCGCAGAUAUCAGGAGGAACACCGGUGGCGAAGGCGGGUCUCUGGGCCGAUACUGACGCUGAGGAGCGAAAGCGUGGGGAGCGAA